GAGCAGGAGCUCCCUGGGGUGGGGGCACGCAGAUCCCCGAGAGGUGGCAACCGCGGGUGUGAGGUGGCGAAGCCUGUGGCUCAGUCUCCUACCUCCACUGCCAGUGCUUUAGGGAUGUCCCACUCUGGCCCUGCUGGGCUGAGAGCAGUGUCACCCGCUGUCCCCACGUGUCUCCGACCCCAGGCUGUCCCAUGGGAUCCGUGCAUCCAGAAGAUGAUCUGUGCUCCUCCUCUCCCGCCCACUGCCAGGACUGGGAGCCAGGACUGCGAGCUCCCACCCACUGCCAGGACUGCCAGCUCUAGCCACUCUUCUUCAUUGGGGAAUUGGAAUAGUUGCACAUUUCAAGGGAGUCGUGAGCGUCAGGGUAGACGCCCUGGGGCCCCGCGGGCUUCCUCAUCUUGAUGUUUCUGCUCCAGCCGUGUCCCUCCCCUCCCCCAGCACCAAAGGAUCCCGACCGACCAGCACCCCGCCUUCUCCAGGGCUUUGCAGACGUCCCUGCCUCGACCUGGUUUCGUUGGCCUGGGUGCAGCCGGGUUUUAAAAACGUCGUGUGUGUCGAGUGCCCGGGAAGGGAGGGGUUCGUGGGCUGCUGCCUCUUCAUGCCCUUGUCCCAGCAUCACGCCCUCCUGGGCCGCCUUCUCAUCACAUCGUCCCGUUGCCCAGGUGAGCAAAGAGAGGCCUGGUGGGGAAAGAGGAGUUCUGUGUGAACACAUGUGUGUUUCGCAUCUCGUAGGGGACAGAGGGCCUGGGGGCAAGACAAGUCGCAGACCCCUUCCCUUCUGCUUUUCCUGGCCUGGCAUCGGAGGGAGAACACGGGCCGCACAGCCCCGCGUCCUGCCGGCCUGGCCCGAGCGGGCAGAGCUCGCCUUUGGUACUGCCCACGAGCCCCGCGGCCUCAACCCAGACUCAUUCCGCACAGUCCCGGGGGCCGGGGUCUGAGAUCCCGGCGUCCGCAGGGCUGGUCUCCUCCCUGAGUCCUCCCCGGGCCGCCCCUCGAGCAUGUCUGGGUCCCGCCCGCCUCUUCUUCUGAGGACGCUGGUGAUAUGGGACUAAGAUCCACGCUGAGGAGCUCAGGUCGCUUAAUCCCGCUUUCAAGAGCCGUCUUCCGAUACAGCCACACCGCGAGUUGCAGGGGGUGGGGGCCUCGACGGCGGAGUUUUGGGGAGACCCACUUUGGCCCCCAGAGCACAAACAGCAUGUGUCGGCUGUGGGAGGGGGUUUCCUUUCUGCCUUCUGUGGCAUGGUUUUCUCUGCUUUCUCCUCUCGUGACCAUACAUUCUCUCCCCUCUCGUUGUUCAGAAAAACCUUACGUCCUUAACGGUGUCUCAAUGAAAUUUCAUCAGCGUCGACGCUAGACUUCAGAGACCUACGUGUUCAGAUGUUAGGGAGGUAAAUUAGGAAAACAAUUUGGGGGAAGUUUUGGUUUCCUUCUGAGUGAACACCUCAACAGAAAGACACACUUCCCUUUCUCAGAUGUUGAGAACUUGCCGUUUGCAAGUUCUAACCAUGAAGAGAAUUGUCAGAUUGUUUUGGAAUCCUCUGUGGAUGUUAUUUUGUGCCACUAAGGCCAGGACAAUUUCCAAGGCAAAAAUGGAUCCCCAUGCACACAGUAGGCCCAAAGUAAAGACACAGCGAUGGCUGGUUUGGUGUUUAUGUGUUGCGUGAAAACGCGAGGGCCGGGGAUGCCAAAUUACCAGGCCAGAAGGAUCACGUUGCCAGGAAUCCCAACCUGGACACCUGCUCUGCUUCUGGCUUUCAGACUUGGGGCUCCUUUGAGAGGAAAAGCAUCCAGCAGACUUUCUGCAGCUACAGUUGAGCUCAGCUCCGACAGUGCUUUAUGUAUUACCUGUUAAGACAUCAGUAGGCUUGUCAUCUAUGUUUGGUACUGAAUGCUUCAUAUUAGCGGGCAUUGUGCUUUGUGUCCCAUUGUUUGAAUAUAAGUAAAUAGACCCGUCUCAGAGUUCCUAUUGUGGCUCAGCAGGCUAAGAACCUGACACAGUGUCGGUGAGGAUGCAGGUUCGAUCCCUGGCCUCACUCAGUGGGUUAAGGAUCCGGUGUUGCUGUGAGCUGUGGUGUAGGUUGCAGAUGGGGUUCAGAUCUGGCGUUGCUGUAGCUGUGCUGUGGGCCUGCAGCUGCAGCUCGCGUUUGACCCCUAGCCUGGGAACUUCCACAUGCCACAGGUAUGGCCCUAAAGAAAAUAAUAAAUAAAAGGCCAGUGUCUAAAGUUCUCCAUCCUGGAGGACUUCUGCAUUACUAUGCUAAAAAGACUGUGUACGGUGAGCUCUUUUAAUGGAAUUACAGGGGUGGGGGAGGGGAGGUUAAAAUCACGUACAUUUGCUAGACCAGCCAUGGAGUGUUGGUGACAGAGACUGGGGAAUUUGGGGGGGGGGGCAUGAAUGUUUAAGGGCACAGGAUUUAUUCUCCAAGUGUUUUUGAGUGAUUCACUGGUGACGUCAGAAAGGCUUGAACUUGAUCCUGCUUAAGUAGCCAGCACGCACCUCGGUACCGGCCUUGUCCCAUAAAAUCCCGGCUGUGUCGUGAUGUUUAAUGAACUGUGACAGCUGGAAGUGCACGGGAGCUGGCCUUCUUGUCCCGUGAUGAGUUCCGUACACGCCUCUUUGUUUUAAGAGACCCUUAUAAGCAGCUAUAACGAUAGUUAUGUGGCUGUUACAUAAAGCUAUCAGAUUUUAAGGGGAUUGGACGGCUCCUGUCUGGCUGAGCAUUGGGACUGAGCCCUUUUAUCGUAGGUGUUGGCGUCACUGCCCUGGAAAGUUGUCUAAGCCCCGUUUGGUACACACGGGUCAUAAUUACGAAAUAAUCUCCACGGGACCUGCAUGUCAGCGUUGACCCAGCAGCCUCUUUAGCUGCGCCGUAAAAUGCAGGCCCAGCUCCUGGAGAGGCCAGGGCACAGCUUCCCCAGGGUGCCCCUGACCUCCUGGAAAGGGAGCAGAGCCACGGGCUUGAACCGGCUGGGAGGUCACGGGCUGCUAAUUGAAUUUUCAUGAUAAAGACAUUUUCCAGCGCUUGGAUUGAGGCCAUGACUUUAAUUUCUGUUCCCCUUGAAGGGGUGAGAGCCGUCGCCCUGUAACAGAAACCCAAGUGCAAAAUUUGCUCACAGACGUCUUUCUCUUCUUUUGACUCUGCCUGGAGUGGUUUGGAGGCCGUCUGUCGCUGCUCUUUCUUUUUCAGUCUCGAAGCAAUUACUCAAAGGUCAAUCCACUGAUCCCUCCCAGAGGUACCCACGCAAGACCUUCCCUGUAGUGGCGGGGAACUUGGUAUUUAUUGCGCACUUACCUGGAGCUGAGCACAAUGUGGGGGCCUAGGGGGCACCUCGGGGAUCUUGGUCCUUACCUUGCCCUUGAGACGUGUCCUGUUGUGUCUGUUGGGGACAGAGAUGGCGCUGGCGGCGUUCCAUCUCGUGUGGGUGUGUUGGAGAGUUUGCUGUUGGAGGCAGUUUUGCUGGCAGUUGUGCCGCACUGCGCAGCUCUGUGUGGGCAUGCCCUGGGGGCUUACCAAGUGCCUGCCUGUGGAGUGAGUGGAAGGAUGACCUUGACCGGACUGCAGUCUGAAAGGCCCCGGCACUGUUGGGGAGCACUGGCCCCUGAUACUUGAGGAUCGAUGCGGCCCCGGACACGGAGCUCACCCAGAGCCCCGAGAGCUCGGAAGCUGUUUGGGACGGUCUGUCUUCGUCCCUUCGAGCUGCUCUAACCCCUCCCAUCGGCCGGCCGGCUGGCUGGGGAGCACCUGCUUCCUGGUCAUCGUGGUGCCAGCAGGUGUGGUGGCUGGUGAGCACCUGCUUCCUGGUCUCCGUGCCAUGUCCCCACUGAGGGGGGCUGCACAGCUCCUUGAUGAGGGGGGAUGCUGUUCUUGAGGAUGCCACUCUCGUGACCUAAUCACCCCCCAAAGGCCCCACCUCCACAUGUCGUCGCACUGGGGCUUGGGUUUCAACGUGUGAAUUUUAAGGGGACACAAAUGUUCAGUCCAUAGUGGCGAUUAUUAUAGAAAAAAGAGAUGAGGCGUUCCUGUCGCGGCUCAGCAGAAAUGAAUCUCACUAGCAUUCAUGAGUCGCAGGUUCAAUCCCUGGCCUUGCUUAGUGGGUUAAGGAUCCGGUGUUGCCGUGAGCUGUGGUGUAGCUCGCAGAUGCGGCUUGGAUCUGGUGUUGCUGUGGCUGUGGUGUAGGCCGGCAGCUGUGGCUCUGAUUGACUCCUAGCCUGGGAACCUCCAUAUGCUGCAGGUGUGGCCCUAAAAAGACAAAAAAAAGGGGGGAGGUCUUUUGUGAUGGUCCCUAUUCCCUUUCCCUCCUCGUCCCUAAUGGCUGUUUCUUUAUAACUUGGCUGUGCUAUUACCCUUCCCGGGAGGCCUCUGUCUCCUACCUAGAUGGCUUUUUCCGUCUGUGUUUUGUCAUCUGCCAGAUGUAAUGUGGCAGUUUGUUAUCACACUUCCCCGUUGUUUUGUGAUAGGCCUUCGAUCUCGCGCUCUCCCCACCAAGCUGUCCUUUGCGUCUUGGCCGGGGCUGUGUCGCCGUCAUCUGGGGAGCCCUGCGUCUCCCAGGAGCCAGGUUUGUGCACGUGCUCAGGUACACACGUCGUUUGCAUCUUCCCAUCCCACCCCUGCCCGCAGAUGAUGGGAAGGGCCUGCCCUGGCCACUGCAGGUCAUCCUCGUGGGCAGUGGGCUGAGGGACAACGCGACGGACCCCGUGGGCUCAGGAAGGCGCCGGGGGCACAUUUGGUUCCGGGUGGACUCUUCGAACACUUCCACAGUUGGCGGAAUAUCCCGAGGCUUUGUACCUGCACAGCAAGUGGUCGUUAGAGCUCAAGGAGACUUUGGAUCCCAAGUGAAGUCGUGGACCCUCUGGGCGCAGAUCACAGCAGCCGAUCAGCAGAAUCAGACGUGGGGUGCAGGUUACACAGAAACCGGGUGGCUCUGCGUCAUGGGACCGAGGAGUGCUGGAUACGAGUCGUCAUGGUCAGAGGACGCGGUCAGAGCCAGAGCGGCCACCUGGGCUUCCCAGGGCCAUCAUCACCUGUGUGACCGGGUGGUCUUCGUCCUGGAGACGGCGGGUCACCAGGCAGGUGAGGGCUAAGCGGGAGGCAAACUGUGAACCCCAAAGGCCCCGCUCUGGCCGGGGCCCCUUCCCUGAGCACGCAGGCCCCAGGCCGUGUUUUCCUCCUGGUACGUUGCUCUUUCCCGAGGGGCGGGGCAACGCUCUGGGCUCUUUGGUAGAAGGUCGGAGCGGCUGAGGGAGGUGACACCUGCGCACAGGCGCCGAUGUCGAAAGGGCCAGGUGAUUUUUCCUAUGAGCAGCUGAGAAAAGACAGUGCCUUACAAGCAAGUGAGAAUGCGCUGGCUGAGGCAGAACCCUUGCUCCCCGUCAUUUUUACUGAGGCUCCAUGUGGGAGAGGAGAUGCUCGGACAGUCACCAAAGCUUGGGCUGCAGUUCUUUGGAAAACCCUCCAACGCGGUGACGAGCCCCAGGGAACGUCGUCUUAGGUGGCCUGACAUCCCUUAGCCUUGGCCCUGUCUGCCGCUCGUCGGCACUUAAAGGAUAUGAAACUGCUUUUCCGAUCAGUUUGAGUGUGAAUGCCGCGUGCAUUUUCUCCCAGUUCCUAACGUGGCUUCUCCGUUCUAAUGGGACAUAAAGGCGGAGUGUACUUGUCGUGUGAGGCCUGAGUAACAAUUACAGACAGAUUUUCGUUCACUCGGAUAAAGCAGGAGGUUGAGAAUCAAGGAAUCGAAAAACCAAACCAGACCAGACAAGAGGACAGACCUGGAUGUGGUGGCGUGUCACUAUAAUUAACUGCACUGAUUCCAUCUUAUAGAAACACAUGACCAGAGGGCCGUUGUGGUGCAGCCGGUUCGUUUAUGAAUUUUGUGUUUGUUGAGUGUGAAGCUCCCGGUGUGGGCAAGUCCGUCUGGGGGCUUGAGCUCCUAGGGCUAGACUUGGCCGUUCCGUUGCCGGUUCUCUGAGAGAAAAAGGUUUUUGUCCUGCUCCUUGAGACACUGGAUGCUUGCUGCGGGAGAAUCCCGCCCACAGAUGGAGAUGAGCCUGCGGGCGGAUACUGUCCGCGUAUUUCCCUGAGAAGGAGGGGGGAAGACAGGCUCAAAAGGAGACGCGGCGGGCCUCACGGGUGACAAGGUAUUCUCUGCGCUUGGCUGUCCUUUUCGUUUGGCAGGCCUUUGUUCCAGUACAUGCUGCGUAUUUACGUGAAAAUUUAAAAAUUCAAAGAGUACCGAAGGGUAUGAGUUAGACGUAAAAGCCUCUUUCUCCUUCACAGCCCUCGUCCCCGAGGAGCCACCGCCGAUAGUUUCGGGUGUGUUUCUCCAGAUGUGCUGUGUGCAGUGGGGAAGCGUGUGUUUUUAUGUACUUUAGUUACCGCUGGGUUUUAAACAAAAAUGAGCCUGUAGGUAGAACACAUACAGGGAGUUCCUGUCGUGGCGCGGUGGAAACAAGCCCGACUGGUAUGCAGUGGAAGACGCGGGUCCGAUCCCCAGCCUCGCUCAGUGGGUUAAGGAUCUGGCGUUGUCGUGAGCUGUGGUGUAGGUCAUAGAUGUGGCUUGGAUGCUGCAUGGCGGUGGCUAAGCUGUGGGCCUUCAUCGGACCAGCUACAGCUCCAAUUCGACCCCUAGCCUGGGACCUUCCAUAGGCUGCAGGUGCAGCCCUAAAAAGCAAAACAUAAAAUCCUCACGUCCAUCUACGCACACACAUCUUGGACAUGUCGUUAUAACAGUAGACACACGUCCCCGUGUAGGUGACAUGGAUGUCCGGUAAGGCCCUUGGUUUUAAACAACAGAACCAGUUCCUGGUUAACCUCAGCUGGGCCCGUGGCUCUUGAAGAAGGACAGCUGGGCCAGGUUUGGGAGCAGCAGGAAGCAGGGACGCUCUGCGGAAUCGAGAACGUUCACGCUGGCAGGAGCGACCUGGUCUGGAUGCCGUCGUGCUAGUGUAACCAAGACCAUCAAAGAAGCUCCCAGUACAUCUCUGUUCUUGUGUUGGCACCUCGAGAUUCAAAGUGAGUGAGUGGGGGUGUGUGUGCGUGUGUGUGUGUCUGUCUGUCUGUCUGUCUCGUGGGCGCUGGAGGGAUCUCUCUCCCUGGCUGAGCUGGAGGCCUGUGCCCCUCUAGGCUACACCAGGUCAAGCAGAGCUAGCCUGGCAGCCUCCCCAUGAGGAAUUGCCAGGUUUUGAGAGGCCUGAAGCAACGACUCAUACCAUGUUUUGAACUUGGCCCGUCCUGCCACUACCAUGUUCUGGGGAAGUAGCAUUUAUGAAUGAAUCGCCUGACAUGCCUCUGUAUUUUUUUUCCCCCUUUUUUUCUUAAGGUCUCUCUCCUUAAGUCACUUCUUGCUAUGACAGUGCUUUUGCAAUAAUACCGUUUUCCACAGAGGAAAUCAGGAAUUUAGACUGUCCUAAAGCCUGGUGACCGGAGAUGGCUGCUCUUCAGGUGGUUGCUGGUAACGAACUGGCGGCGCCGUGAGCUUUGGGUUUGCUGAGCGUUGCAAAGUCUCUAGUAAUUUUAUGGGGUGAAUGAUAAAGUUUGGCAGAUGAUUUCAUAUGUGAUAAAAAUUCAGGGGAAGACUUUUCCAUGGACUCGCUCUGGCUUUGAUCGUUUCCAGCUUGGUUUCUCCCCUGCACUCAGGCUAUUUAUAUCGAGGUAUUCUAUCUGGCACUGCCCACUGUGUCCUGACCUUGGAUAAUUUAUCCUGAAAUACAGGAUUUCUGGAAGCCAUUCCCACACCGGCACAGCCAGCCGUAAAGCUGCCACACAAGGGGACAUGGGCAGAUCUCACAGCUGUGCCCACGAGGAGGCAGGACGCCACGGGCGGAAGCCCCCCGCCUCCUCUUCUCUCGCAGGUAGAGAGCCGAGCGGGCAGAGGGCCUAACUGAUCACGGCUGCUCGUAUGUCUUGCUUUGGCAAAUUGCCGUCAUCAGUUGAGCUUGUGAACCCUUCGACGUGACUGCCCCUAAAAUCUUGGACGAGAGCAGAGCACGGGGGAGCUGGAUCUUUAGCAGCGCCAGGUCCGUUCCCUGUUGUCGGUGCCCUUGAUGAGACGGAAGGGCAAUUCCCUCUAGAGGAACUGCAGUAUGCAUUUGAUGUCACGUCUGUGUGGCAUCUAAAACAUGACACCGCUGAACCUCUCUACAGAACAGAAACCGACUUACGGACACGGAGAAUAGGCUGGUGGUUGCCCGGGGGAGGGGGAGGGAGUGGGGAGCACGGGGAGUUUAGGGUGGGUCGAGGCAAACUCUGACAUGGAGAAUGGAGAAGCCAUGAGGCCCUGCUGUGCAGCACAGGGAGCUCUGUCCAGUCUCUUGGGAUAGACCAGGAUGGAGGACAGUAUGAGGAAAAGAAUAUGUGUGAUGGGUCACUCCUGUGCAGCAGAAAUGGACACAAGGUUGUAUAUCACCUAUAAUAAAAAGAAAAAA
rnacentral:lncRNA from 1 species